CUGCUGCCCUGUUUCUCCUCCUUAGUCCAUCCAGCGGUGGUAAUUCGACAACGAAAGUCGUAUCGAAGAAAAGAUGGGGUGUUUCUUUAUUUUGAAGACAAUGCAGGAGUCAUAGUAAACAAUAAAGGCGAGAUGAAAGGUUCUGCUAUCACAGGUCCAGUCGCAAAGGAAUGUGCAGACUUGUGGCCCAGGAUUGCAUCCAAUGCAGGCAGCAUUGCAUGAUUCUCUGGUGUAUUUGUAAAAUAUUCAUUAAAAAGUCUUUGCUCCAAGAA